GCUGGUAUGGCUCAGUUGGUAGAGCGCACCCUUGGUAAGGGUGAGGUCCCCAGUUCGACUCUGGGUAUCAGCACCA
rnacentral:tRNA from 1 species